rnacentral:lncRNA from 1 species
UUUAUAUAGCGGACAAACAUACAAUUGUCUUUCUAUGAUAUCUUGCUUCUUUAUUGGUAUCAGCCACAGCUGGAAUUGUAGUGAAAAGAUUUGAUCUCACCAUCAUAGCCACUGGUCGAAAUAAAGCUUUCAAAUUGUCUGGCAAUUCCGUUCUGCCAGCGUAUCCCGGAUUCAUUGUGGUGAAUAUCGCGCAGGUCCUUCCGGAGCGCCGCCGAGAUGCUGGUUGAGGGCACCGAACA